AUUCAAUUCAAUCACAAAACCCUACAUCUGUGGAGUUCAAGUGAUUCGAUAAUUUUCUGCUUCUGAUUGCUAGAAGAUUCGAUGAAAAGUUUCACUAGCGUUCUACUUUCGCGAAAUGAACCUGGAUGGCUUGUUGGAGAGCAUAGACACUGGUUCGUCACCGCAUGGGAGGCACCACCACCUCUGCCGCCAUCUUCUUCUGCUACUACGAUUCUUGGAGCUUGAUCAGUUGACGUCCUUGCAGGCUGAAGUCGGACCGAACAUCCAGGAAGCACAUGCUUUUUCCACAGGAGAUCAUGUAUUUGUUGUUGAUGGAUGACGAUAUCAGAUUCGACAUAUCAGGAGAUGAAGAUGGUGUUUGUUUUUUAAGAGGUGCUGAAGUCUGAAAUCUUAUU